rnacentral:rRNA from 1 species
CGCCAGACUCCUACGGGAGGCAGCAGUGGGGAAUAUUGCACAAUGGGGGAAACCCUGAUGCAGCAACGCCGCGUGAGUGAAGAAGUAUUUCGGUAUGUAAAGCUCUAUCAGCAGGGAAGAAGAUGACGGUACCUGAGUAAGAAGCCCCGGCUAACUACGUGCCAGCAGCCGCGGUAAUACGGAGGAUCCGAGCGUUAUCCGGAUUUAUUGGGUUUAAAGGGAGCGUAGAUGGGUUGUUAAGUCAGUUGUGAAAGUUUGCGGCUCAACCGUAAAAUUGCAAUUGAUACUGGCAGCCUUGAGUACAGUUGAGGUAGGCGGAAUUCGUGGUGUAGCGGUGAAAUGCUUAGAUAUCACGCAGAACUCCGAUUGCGAAGGCAGCAUACCGGCGCCCAACUGACGCUGAAGCACGAAAGCGUGGGUAUCGAACAGGAUUAGAUACCCUAGUA